rnacentral:rRNA from 1 species
UACGGAGGGUGCAAGCGUUAUCCGGAUUCACUGGGUUUAAAGGGUGCGUAGGUGGGCAGGUAAGUCAGUGGUGAAAUCUCCGGGCUUAACUCGGAAACUGCCAUUGAUACUAUCUGUCUUGAAUACCGUGGAGGUUAGCGGAAUAUGUCAUGUAGCGGUGAAAUGCUUAGAUAUGACAUAGAACACCAAUUGCGAAGGCAGCUUACUACACAGUAAUUGACGCUGAGGCACGAAAGCGUGGGGAUCAAACAGG